GGAGAUUGUUUGCAUGUGGCAGGUG
rnacentral:piRNA from 1 species